rnacentral:rRNA from 1 species
AAUUACUCGGGCGAGACUGACGGAGCACACCGCGUGAGGGAUGACGGCCUAUGGGUUGUAAACCUCUUUUCUCAGGGAGGAAAACAUUGACGUUACCUGAGGAAUAACCAUCGGCUAACUCCGGGCCACCACCCGCGGUAAGACGGAGGAUGCAAGUGUUUUCCGGAAUCACUGGGCGUAAAGCGUCUGUAGGUGGCUUAACAAGUCAACUGUUAAAUCUUGAAGCUCAACUUCUAAAUCGCAUUCAAAACUGUUAGGCUAAAGUAUAGUAGGGGUAAAGGGAAUUUCCAGUGGAGCGGUGAAAUGCGUAAAGAUUGGAAAAAACACCGAUGGCAAAGGCACUUUACUGGGCUAUUACUGACACUCAGAAACAAAAGCUAGGGUAGCAAAUGGGAUUAAAUACCCCCAGUAUUCAA